AUCAGUGAUAUCUGUUUCCAGUUGACCCCAUGACAGUCAUUGUCUCGUCAUCAUGAGAUCACACCACCUCUUCCUCCUGAUCUACCUCACAGCUCUCUGCUGCUACUGGGGAACAUCAGAUGCACAACGAAAUGAGACCUGCCAUACACAAGAACUGUGUACUCAGGUGAGUGCUAGCAUUCAACCUCUCCCUCACCCUCCACCCCCCCUCUUUCUGUCUGCCCCACACCUCUCUCUCUCCCUCCCUCCCUCUCUCUCUCUUUCUCCAUCCCUCUCUCUCUCUCCCUCCACUCCCACCCUCUCUCUCUCUCUGUCUCUCUACCCCAUCUCACUCUAUCUCUCUUCCCUUCUCCAUCUGUUUCCCUUCUCCACCCCCCCUCUCUCUUUCUGUCUGUCCCCCUCUCUCUCUUUCUGUGUCCCCCCACCUCUCUCUCUCUCUCUCUCUGUCUGCCCCCACCUCUCUCUCUCUCUUUCUCUUCUCCAUCUGUCUGUCUCUCUCUCUCUGUCUCUCUCCCUCCACUCCCCCCCCCUCUCUCUCUCUCUCUCCCUCUCUCUUUCCUUCCCUCCACCCCUCUCUCUCUCUCUCUCUCUCUCUGUCAAUCCACCACCUCUCUCUCUUUCCCUUCCUCUCUCUCUUUCCCUCCCUCCAUCCCUCUGUCUCUCUCUCAUAAAAACAUG
rnacentral:lncRNA from 8 species